rfam:Pelecanus crispus contig97803, whole genome shotgun sequence.
CAUACUUCCCAGCUGUUGGCUAAGAUCAAGAGAAUCAUCAUUUCUUAUCACUUUAAUAUCUGACACAUCCUCAGCUUGAAGUUUUUAUAUUAAAUGGAUUUGGAGGGCAUGGGAAGGAGUAACUGCUUCCUCCAUCCACUCCAUGCAUUAGCCCGAAACUGCAGUGCUUCCAGGUACCACGGCUGCAUCA